GACUGACCGACGGCAACCCUCCUCUCUCACCCGCUUCAAAACGUCCUCUUCGUCUCCUAUCAAAUUUUGAUAAGUGACCACCAGUUGACGGCGUCUACCGGUCACUCUCUUAUCGUUUAUUUUUUUUUCUCAUUCCUAUCUC
ensembl:ncRNA ZK470.12 ncRNA